rfam:Brassica oleracea var. oleracea cultivar TO1000 chromosome C3, whole genome shotgun sequence
GUCUCUUCGGGGAAAUCCGAUAAAAUUGGAACGAUACAGAGAAGAUUUGCAUGGGCCCUGCGCAAGGAUGACACGCACAAAUCGAAAAAUUGUCCAAAUUUUG